GGCCGGUCCGAAGGUAGUGAGUUAUCUCACGUGAUUGUUCACAGUCAGUUACAGAUUGAACUCCUUGUUCUACUACUUUCCCCCCUCCUCACUACUGCACUUGACUAGUCUUAA
rnacentral:Y_RNA from 1 species